GGCAGAGAGGCGCACGGUGUGCGUCGGGGCAUCAUAAUAUAGCUAUUAGGUUACACCCCGAAGGUCCUCGUUCGACUCGAGGCUCUGCCC